rnacentral:lncRNA from 1 species
UAAAAAUAUAUAUAUUAAAUUUAUCUGAGUUAUAUAUAGAUUAUUUUGAAUUGGCUAUCUAAUCUUAUAAAUUUUUGAUUUUACUAUCUAAUCCGUAAUUUAUUUGAUUUGAGUUAGUCAAUUAACAUCACCUUGACUUCACAAUUUUAGACUAAUUAAUUACUUAACUUAAUAAAUUUAUAGUUGCGAGAAUUGUAUAAAAUAUUCCAACUAAAUCUCCAAAGGUAAACGACGAAUUCAAAUUUGGAAGUCAAAAUAUCAGCUCAAAUCAAACAAAUUGAAAGAUCGGACAGUAAAAUCAAAGUUUUGAAAAUUUGAGUAGUAGCCGAAUCAAAAUAGUCUAUAGUUCAAAUAAGUUUUAUAUUAUUUUACUGAAAAAAUAAUAUAUUUGCUUUUGUAAGUGAUUACAUGUUAUCCAAAUCUCACUGGUUGGUUUUUUAAUAUUUGAUUUUUGGAAAAACUUCAAAAACCUUCCAUGUGGUUUCACACUUUCUUAUUUUAGUACUCUGUGGUUUAAAGUGUAUCAAUUUGCCCCCCUGUGAUUUUGUUUUUAUCUUUUCGGCUACUUUUUCCUUAAUAUUUCAUUAAAUUAUGUACAAAAAACUUAAGAUAUCCAUCUAGAUUAAUUUAUCGAAUAUUUACUUUACUAUCCUUUAAUUUUAACUUUGUCACUGAUUUAAGAAAAAAAAAUAAUAAAAUUGAUACUAAAAAGAGAAAAACGAAACCACAGGGGGGCAAAUUGAUAUGCUUUAAACCACAAGGUACUAAAGUGAUAAAGUGCGAAACCACAGAGGGGGUUUUUGAAGUUUUUCCUUGAUUUUUUAUUACCAUACUGGAAAAUAGAUAACCACAUCUUAAUUAAUUAUACACUUCUGUCUCAACUCUUUUAAUCAGAUAGUGCAUUCCACAAUCCUCAAUACCAAAUGGGCUAUAUUAUAUCUAUUUCAGUCCGAGUUGUCAAAUUGCUUGUUUAAUUUGUUAUGUAGUACCAACUGUUUCUAGAGCAAGUGGCAAAGAGCUUAGUGGUUGGUACUCGAAAUUCCAAGUUCGAAUCCUAGUUAAUUCACACUUUCAGCUAAGUUUAUUUCUAAAUGAAAUAAACGAAACGGAUAGUGUGCUAUCUAUCUCUUUCAAAAAAAAAAAAAUUGCUAUGUAGUGGUUGGAAGGAUUUGGUAUGACGGGAAGGUGGAAUGUACUUGUAGAUCGAUAAAUAAACAAAUUUAGACGAAAAUCUGGUUCUUAAUUGUACGAAAUAGAGAAAGUUGGACGAAACAAGCCCUAAAUCUCAUAAUCCCCCUGAACCUACUUAAUACUAUAUAGAGCUAGUGGGGUAGCACCAGCCAUAGUUAGUUAAUUCGGAUUCGGCAAAAAUUCGAUACGGAUAUAAUUCGGAUAAAAUUUACCUUUUAAUUUUUAAAUUCGUUGAAAAAUACGGCUAAAAAACGGAUUCGGUAAUUAUUCGGAUACGUGAUUUAUAUGGAUAUUAUACGUUCAUUAAUUAAAAAUUCGGAAUAAAAAAUUCGGCUAUAUAAUAAAUAUAUAAUAAUUAAUAUACUAUAUAUAUUAUUAUUAUAAUUUUUAUAUAUAGAUUAAGUAUAUUUAAAAUUAUAAUAAAUAUAUAUUAAUAAUAUAUAAGAGUUAUAUAUUUACAAAUAUUAAUAAAUAAUUACAGAUUUAUAAAUAAAAUAUUAUAUAAUAAUAUUUCUAUAUAAAACUAAAAUAAAAUAUAUAAUAAAUGAAUAUAUAUUUAUAUAUAUAUAUAGAAUUA